GGGCAACACAAACAAGCCAGACAGGUACAGGCAACACGUAACGCAGACAAGCCGAAUAAGAUCGGGAUUCCUCUGUAUCUCCUUUUCGGGCCGGAACUCCUCCACCCCCAUCACUGAUAACCACCAAUCCGGACCGCUCUCCCCUGCAUCUCCUUCUUCAGGCCGGAACAUCUCCACCUCCCAGCG